GUUCGCUGCCUUCAAAGGCACCGACGCGCACAGUUUUCCUGCCACUCGGUCCGCGCCUGCGAGACGCGACGGCUUCUGGGAGUUCGUCGCAAGCCUCUGAAAAAAAGCUCCGCCACUCACGGAAACGAACCUCUCUCGCGAACUCGAUCCCUGCGCUCUCGCCGAGACCGUUUCGCGUCGCCCCCGGUGCUCGGCUCGUCGCAAAACGCCCUCCGACGACCACGGCAGCUCUCGGCUCCUGUCUGCCUCCCAAGGUGCAUUUCCACUCGAAGCUUCGGAGCGAGGCACCCGCAACCGUUUGUGUUCUUCUGACACAGAAGCGACGGCAAGACCCGCGGAGUUCGCUGGCGGCUUUGCCUCUGAAAGGGGCUUUCCGCGGUUCCUGUUGCUCUCGAGCUUUCUCCGCCGCGCAGAACGCCAAAGUCGUGACUUCUCCAACACAGCGCAAACGCGCUCAUAGGCUGCAGCUGCGCAGGUCGCAACAAAGUCAGACAGGGAAAACGCGCGUCUGCUCGUGCGUCGCGGCUCCCCUCCUGCGCGUAUGGAGUCGAGACGGCUGGGACAUCGACCUGCCCAGAGAACGCAAGUGAUGAGUUUUGCUUCUCGAAAAAGAUGCGCAGAGAUAAGUGUGCGCUUGGAUACGUCUAGACAGAACAAAAUUCGUUCAUUCCCUUUGAGUUUUAGCAUCUCUCUGAGGAGUUCCAAACCGUCUGCGCCCAUGACAAGGCCAAACUGGAAGAGCAGAUCUGCUGCCUCCUGACAGGAGGACAUGCCUCCCGGUUGAGUGGAAGGUGCAGAAAGAUGCCUCGGGUGUAUGGGCCUCGGAAAAUGUGUAGUUUCGUUUUUUUCACAGUUUCUCGCCUCCUUCCCUAGAGACUCUGUCCCUGUAACUUCCGGUUCAGUUGUUUUCUCCUGUGAAGCCGACGCUUCCAGACGGACAGUUCUGCUCUCUCCGCGGGUGGGGCUCUUUUCUCUCUGCUUCAAGAGGUCUCCGUUCUCAAGCCAAGGUUCCUCUUGUUUCUUUGUCGGAUUUUCGGAGCUCUGUGCCUCCCCACGUUCCACCCUCUUGUGGGUUCUGCGGGCGACAACACCGUCAUCCCGGUGUUUCGCUGCCUGCUUUGCGUUUCCAUCCGUCUCGCCAUCCUUCGAGGCCAUGCAUUCGUCCACCGUUUCGGCAAAAUAAGAAGCUUCUUCUUUCUCGCGCUCCUCUUCGUCUUCUUCGGUUUCACGUUUUUCCUCCUCUCUGUGGAAGUAAUCGAUGACUUUGUCCCAGUCCGCAGGUGGCCACAGUGGGAGCAUUCGAACCCACAUUUCGGCUUCUUUCAGCAGCGCCGCGGUCUCGACAGAUUCAGUGCCUUCUGUUGGAGUCACUUCCUCCUGUGGGUCUCUUGAACUUCGCGAGAGAAGGCUGCUGCCCUGGAGUCCUGUUUGUUCACUAGGAAAAAACAGAGACUCAGCCAACAUGCGCCUGUCAGAACUUUCCUCGGGGGGUGGCAGACGCGGCGCCCUUGCCAUGUGCUGUGCGUACGCGGGGGAGGAGAAAACUGCCAUUUCAGGUGCAUCUGGGUCCCUUCGAAUGCGUUCUGCUUCUCUGCGUUGAAUUGCAAAGCGAGGGUCUGUGCCCGGUGCUUUGCUUGAGAAUCAUGGCCACCUCUCUCAACGAACGACGGUGGAAUGUCAGAAACCCCCGAGUAGAGAGGCGGGGAUCGGGUGACGGGGAAAUGCUCGACUCUCAAGCGAGGGAAAAACGGGUUUUGUCUUGAAAAAGGCCGGUGCUCUGCGGAAGGAUCAGCUGGAACUGGCAAACCGCACAUUUCCGCCCAUGUCCGUGCGUCCACUGGGGUGCCAAGGAGACGGAAAAUCUGCAAAAAGCGACAGACGAAGAAACCGAUACACCGACAUGGGAGAGCGGAAGCGAGCAGACGGCACAAAAGCACAUUCCGUUUCUCCGUCGUUUCCUUUUCCCCCCAUCCACCGGUGGUCCAAUGAAAAAUGAAAUGGAAACGUAAAUACGACGCAGGGCGACAAAGAAGAAACGAAGACGGAUGGAGUGCAAAGUUCGAUCAAGCGCUUAUGCAUUCAUGCAUGAAUAUAGGUCUACAAACAUAUACACAGGUAAAAAUCGUAGAUCUAUACAUGGAUUUGCAUACAUCUCGGCCAGAUCGUGCAUGAGAGUCUGACGAUCACGAGGGCUCUGAAAAGUGGGAAUGUCGAACGGGAUAAAGGAGCGAGAACGAAUCGCGUUGCUGACAGCUUUAGGCACAGAACGUCGGGGCCGGAAAGCAGGAGCACGUGUAGGGAGGACGCAGAUGGAAGCAUCUCAUCUUUUUAUCUCAGUAGAGAGGCUUGGACGGUACCUUUCUGUUUCCACGAUCUACGUCUGAAAACCGAGUCGCUAUAUACAGAACACCAUACGAGGCAUUUCUACAAAUAUACAUGUAUAUAUAUAUAUAUAUAUAUGUAUAUGUGGGUACUUCCAUGUCUGCGAACACGACCAAAUACAAAAGGUUGAACAGAUGUGUGCAGAACGCGUUGUCGUCAUAUAUGCUGACUUGCAACAGAUAGAUCAUCUCUGAGUCUGCUCGAAAGGGGGGUCGAAGAAGCGCGAGCUCCAUGAAGAUGAUUGCGACAGACCAAAUGUCAACUCCGAAAGAAUACAUGGGUGCAGAAUCGACUGUGCCGUCGCCGCGCAUGAGUAGGAGCUCUGGAGCGCGAUAAAAGAGGCGCCUGCUCUCGCGAUACGACCGCUCUCUGUCUUUAGGAUCUGAGAGCGUGAGAACGGCAAAACUCCAGCGCUGAAAAGGUCCGUUUUCACGUUGGCACAUUUGUGCAUUCGGACCUGGAAAAGUUUAUACUUUUGAUGCCAUCUUCCCGAGUACACAUCCCUGUUCUGUGAAACGCAUUCCGUUCUCGCCUUCACGACGAUUGAGAAACCGUGUAAAGUAUAUCUGAAGGAGAAGCAUGAGACCGACGUCCGUACCAAGGCGACUACAUGGUGAAUAGGAGUAAACUUGUGGCGGUCAUAAACCUGAUUCUGUUCUUAGAGAAAACGUGGAAGGCUGAACAGUGGAUCAGAAUUGUGUACCGUGACGCGACUUCUGUGGAAACGGAACACGGCUGCUGGCGGUCAAGGAGUUUAUACCUGGAGUUUUCCCGGUCAUCGAUUCCUUGUUUUGUCGGAGAAAUCUGGUAAAACCAUACCUACUGUACGCAUCGACUCUGGUUCACCACCGUAGAUGCCCCCAGAGCUCUGGUUGCGUGCUCUUGUUGCGCAGAGGGCCUCUAUAUGUUUCCACCUUGAACUCUAACUGUCGAGACUGUGUGGGCAGAAGAUUUCUAAAGAAUAAUCAUUUGAAGCAUUUGAACUGACAGAGUGUGGAUGAGAACCGCAGGCGUUGAAGAGUUCCCCUUCUUACAGACCUCAGUGUUCCUCUAUAGUGCUAAGAAAGGCGAGUGCGGUUUCCGCGGUUGAUACAGUUUCUCUUCCUUUUUGCUGUUUCGCUGGUUGUGUGUACCCUAUUUUAUCGCUCACUUUCGGGCGUGUACGCGCCUCUUGUUUCCUGCAGCAGUCUGCUGAAUCCGAAGUCACUCAGUUCAACGUCAACAUUCGGAAGAAUCUCGUCCAUCUCGUCUCCACUUGCUGCUUCUGACGCAGGACAUUGGGACACUCGUCAAGUUUUACUUCUACCGUCUGUAUCGGGUGCGGAUGUCUGUUUCCGUCUGAUCGCCUCGUUUCCCUUCUUUGCACUCCUCUACUGUCAACGGUAUCGGUCACUAACAUGCCCCCCAGUACAUUUUUUGACUACAGCUUCUAGAUGAUUGAUUGGAAAUUUUUAUGCUUUUCUCUUGUUCAGCCCAAGUCUUACAACGUACACAGACAGACACGCUAAACUGGACCCGCUGCGUCUCUGUGUUUUACCGCAAAUUUCCUUUACGUUCUCUUCCGGGUUGCCGCGCCACUUUCAGCGGCAAGACACGCAGUCGUCGAAUCUCUUUCUGUUUGUCUUCGUCUAGUUUCAUUUCUCAACUGUUUACGCCAUACCUCUUUCCUCAGGUGAACAAGGAACCGAAACGGCAACACGCUUGUGUCUCGCGAUCUUGCGAAUCGUCCGUUCUUUGGCCCCGUUUCCGUCACGGAUGAACGUCUGCACUAGGCGGGGUGUAGAUGAUGUCUCUGGCGCUGUGAGUGGUUCUGAGGUUUUGGAAAUUGGCCAAUCUGUGCGCGAAGAAAAUCUUGAUCUCAUGCCUUCCCGAGUAACUGUGGCCGCAGGCUCAGGGCCUUCUUUGCCUCCAGUGCAAGGACGAAUGAGGAUAUUUUCCGGCUUCAAGUUGCGGUGGAGAAUGCCGUGGCUGUGCAGACGAGAGAGACCGCGUAAGAGCUUCUGGAGAAUGCGCCAGACAAAUUCGCGGUGUAUUUCUUUCGCGUGAAAGGCAGGACGGCGGCUUAGGGAACGCUGGCCAGAGAGGCUGGAGGCGGAUAGGGAGCGACGAUUCUGUGAGCCGGUCAUCCGGUAUGUGGAAACAUCAAACGUUUCCUCUCUUGACAGCGGUGAAGGAGUUGCUGUGUGGGAGCGGAGAGUUAAGAAGCCGGUCGUUUUUAAGCCCUAGAGUAAACAGUACGGAAACAGGUUCGAGACACAGCAACUACACGGUGAGUGUCGACCUUGAUGAAUGGGCGGGUGUAGUCUCUGAAACACCAAGAGCGGGAUCUUGCAUUGUAGAGCCGGGGGUGCAAUGAUACACAAAAAAAUAAUAUGACAAUUUGAGAAACAACUUCUCGAACACAGGGGAAGCGGGGGCAAGUAGACAGCCAAAGCCGUAGUUGAAUUUGUGGAUUGCGGAAAGUGGAUACGCACCUCCCAGAAUGUCCGCAGGUUGCUCUCACAGAAAUCAGUAAUCAUGUAGAGCGUACUGCCCUCGAUUUGACAGCCGAAAAACUCAACAAUGUUCAUCGAUUCAUGGGCAUCUCUUGCACGUCGUCGAAUCAACGCGGAGACAUCCCCAAGCUGCGUCGUUUGUCCAGCAGUUUCCAUCCCAGGAUCUCCCGAAUUGUCGUGAAGAGGCCCGUAGGGAAAUUCGGCUUGGUCGUGAUCGACGUUCCAUUCCGAACGGGGUCGCCGCUCUCGCGGAGGAAGCGAAGACCGGGAAGGAAGCCAGACGGGGCAGGUAGAAGGAAGCGUGGGAGGCACGGCGGUAAGGGCUAUAGACGAAGAACAGCGGUAGGCGCUUCGGGUGAUCUCGUGCUGCCUUUUUCUUUCCAAUUCCUCUCGAUCCUGUCGGCGCCUCACAUGAAUUAGCUGAAGGCGAAGUUCUUGCAGAAGAGAUGCUUCUCGGAGUAUCGACGCUGGAACACCAUCGUCAACUUCUGCAUUUGCGCUCGCGAGGUUGACACUUCGAACAGCCACGCGUGUAAACAGAGGAGAUUGUUCCGGGUCUCGCGAGCGGCUACACCAAGGACAGGAGGCCGCUAAAGAAGGAAUCGAGAAAGAACCAAUAGAAGGUGAACCAUAACAAGAAGGGGCUAUUGGAGAUUGCGGAAUACAGGACACUAAGCGGCAAGUUCCUGAAGAUUGAGAGGUCGCACAUACAGCAGGGUGUCCGCUUUCAGUACGACUGGUUCUUGCAGUACGUGACACAGUGGAUCCGCUGAACGGAUGAUCCUCCGCCUUCAAAGGCCGACACUGUACGCCGCCUCUGGGACUUUUGCUGGCAGAAACAGCAGAAGAACAGACAGCCGGCGUAGGCGUACAAGAAGUGGAUAUCGAGUGUUCUGCAUGUUCUGCAUGCAAACCUCGCCAUGUAUCAUUCACAGAAUCUACCCCAAUUCUGUUUCCGGAAAUUGAAGAUGCGGAUGUGGGAGAAAGAGAGCUGCAUGGGUAAACAUGUACCUCAUUGUGCACGUGACGGGAGCCAUCAUCCGCAGGCUUUGUCUCAACAACGGAGCGGCAGAAAGAAUCCGGUCUAUUAUCAGUGUGGUGAAGUUGUCCUUCCGUUGUCCUUAGCGAUGCGGUCCUUACUGCCUUGAGAACGGCCACGGGGGUCCGCGCAAUCCGCACUUUCCCCUUGGAUCUUCUUUCACUGAUAAUCCCACGUGGUUCAAAGCGUAGACACGCCAGUAAACCCUCGCGUUCUAGCACCGUCGCCCAGUGCGGUGAAGACAAGAUUUCGCGGCGCAUUGCUUUGCACGUAACUGUGAGUGCCGCGUAGGCAACUGAAGCUCCCAGAGUCUCAAGAAGCAAACCACAGAUUGAGAGAAGGGAACAAGUUCCACAGAGAGAUGGUGCAGAUGACCGGCAACUUGAGAAAUGUCUGAUCCGGUUGUUUUCAGUAGGCUCGUCUGCAGGAGAAUGUGUGUAGCAGACCAAAGGUGCCGAGCAUUUAUUUUUACCGGUAUCUUCCUCGCAGCAGCGACAUCGUGUCGUUACCACACCUGUUUCUGCACAGAGCUGCCUUAGGCAGCCUUUGGGAUUUCCAGUGAAUCUCUCCAUGGAAGAUGCAGUGGAUGUGUUUCCGGUGGUACAGAACGUGUCCUUAAUCGUCGUUCCAUUUGCGUCGUGCUGUCGCGGCAACGGGAUGGACGCUGAGAUUUCCCCACGCGAAAACCCCGCGUUCACAUUUGAGCACGCAUCGGCGUGCCUUACAAGCCGCCCGCGUGGUUCCUGCAUCUCACGAGCAGAAGUUGCAGAUGCCGGAUAGUUCGAAUACUUGCCGCAUGUAAACGUCUGUGCACGCCGGGGUUUCCGCUGGUGCUCUGUCGGUUUCUCAGGAAGGUAAGCAAACGCAGCCCUUGUACGGACCCUCACGGAUGUGUUCCCCUGUUUCCUCAGAGCAGGGAGUUCGACCAAUUUGAAGAUUGGCUUUCAUGGGAACGGUGUCUAUCCACAAAAUACUGCGGUAACGAGACACAGGAAGUCCCUGUUAUAGAAAAUGUCUUAUACUGCCACACCUUGGGUCUCCGGUCAUGAAUUUCACCUGACGGUUGGGUUCGCUGAGACGUUAUGGAUUCAAGCUUGAGUGACAACCGUUAGCUGCGCGCAUAUCCGAGGGGAAAUUCUGGCCGGAUAGACAUUCUACGCGUGUAAUCGGAGAAUAAAUUUUCGGACGUGAGGGGAAGUUUAACUGCAGUAUAUAUGUUUCGGGAAUGUGCAUGUAUGUUUGUGACGUGGCUUUCGCUGGCAAUCGCCACCAACCAAACACAACUUCUAUUGGAUAUUUCGACACGUACAGUCGGUAAUGCAGAAUUUAUUAAUCUACGUGACACGCGUAGAGGGAUCGGUGAAUCUGUUCGAAACCAAAUAUACGGUUUCAGGGUUUGAUUUUUUGAUGGAAGUUUGUGGACGGGCGCAAUGAUGGAACGUUGACCCGUCUCGAUCGCAAGUAAGGCCAGUGUCCUUGUUUCCAAGACCAGUCCAGGCCUAGAUGGAUGACUUCAUGGGGAAUUCAGUCACGUGUAAAAAAGCCAAAGGAAAAGCGCACAGAUUCCGCCGUUUUUAUGCUUCUCCUCCCGGGCAAGAAAAUGAAAGAUGGGGAGGAGCAGCGAAAGGGAAAUCACUGCAUUACAUGCGCUGUCCUCUCCGCUUUUCGGGGGAGCUUGUUGAAGGCACCUUUGACUAAAUAAAAAGCAUCAACCGGUACAUGGGCCCUUGCAAAGGAGGAGAAAUUAAUAAGAAAUCGAUACGAAUUUCCUGAGGCGACAGACAGAACCCAUGUGGGCCACAACCACCCAUGUGCAGUUGCCUCGCCUGUCGACAACCAACGAAAAAAAGAGUGUGUUGAUGAGUCUUCUGCCCGUGGAUAAGAAACGUUAAAAAAUUUAGCCCUCUCUCGGAACACAAAAACAAGGCGUUUGGCCAUGAAUAGGGAAACGCAGAUGAGGAUGGAAUGCUUAUCCUUUCGGGCGAGCAUGUGGAAAGCGCUCAACAUCUACAGCCUUCUUCUAAAAGUGCCUUUCAGGGGGUCUUUUAUUCGAUACUUGUGACAUCUUGAGCCCAUUUCUUUUACAAGAAAGGCUUCAGACAGCGGAGAGCACGCACUGCCAUCAAAAGGAAAUCGGCACCUAAAAAAAGCCGGAACGACGCAGCGAGUGCGUGCCCUCUGUUGCCACAACAAGGUAAAUUCAGUUGUUCAUGCCGACUGAGAAAUGCAAUGUUUUUUUCGCAUUUCGUGACGAAAAAUCGAUUGUAUGAGAGCCGAGAGGACUUGUAUUCACAGACGAAUCCGGCCAAAAGCCCACCUAUGCGCCUUCCGCGUGUGACAGCACAACGCAGCAAUGCGUGACGCCACUUAUUUCCCCAAGCC
rnacentral:lncRNA from 1 species